rnacentral:lncRNA from 1 species
GCAGUGUCCUUCAGGCAUCAGAAACUAAGCAAAGAGUAUGGAAAGAGAUCACAGGGCUCUCCGUUCUAUGGUGACAAGGGGAAUAAAGCAGGACAAAAAAAGUGGAGAUUUCACAUUAGGUACCAUCUUCUGCUCUCUGCUCUCUCUUCCUCUAUCUUGGAGCCUACCUGACAUUCCUUGACCACCUCGUUUAUGCGGAAUGUUUGGUGACCUUGGUGUUCCUGAGACAGUUCACAAACCCAGCAAAUGACUUUUCCAUCCUCCUUACAGAAGAUCUGGAGUUUUUUUCCAUGGUGCUCACAGACAUCUCUCUUCUGCCCCUCCUGUGGGCUCAUCUUGACCUCUUUGACUCUCUCAACUAUGUUGGCCAGAUGCCGAUUAGGUCGGAGGUUCCCAGGCUGGAAUCUGGUCUGACACACAGGACAGCUGCUUUCCCCUCUUGAGAUGAUCACUGACUCCUUGAUCUUUGCAGUGAUGCAGGCUUGGCAGAAGCUGUGGCCACAAUCUAGGCUCAGAGGUUCUGUCAGGAGCUCCAGGCAGAUGGGGCAGGUCACCUCCUUCUCUAUGUCUACCUUUACUGAGAAAUCCAUUGCACUGCUCCCUUGGCUUCCUUCUGUCUUGACUCUUGAAGUUCUUGGUCACAAACUCCUGCAGUGCUGAGAAUGUUGAAGGGGACAGGGUAAGAAAAGAAGGAAUAGAAAGAAUACUGCUUUUACAGAGAUUUAGAACAGGACAAAACAUUAAUAUUUAACA